rnacentral:rRNA from 1 species
GGAGCAUGUGGUUUAAUUCGAAGCAACGCGAAGAACCUUACCAGGCCUUGACAUGCAGAGAACUUUCCAGAGAUGGAUUGGUGCCUUCGGGAACUCUGACACAGGUGCUGCAUGGCUGUCAUCAGCUCGUGUCGUGAGAUGUUGGGUUAAGUCCCAUAACGAGCGCAACCCUUGUCCUUAGUUACCAGCACGUUAUGGUGGGCACUCUAAGGAGACUGCCGGUGACAAACCGGAGGAAGGUGGGGAUGACGUCAAGUCAUCAUGGCCCUUACGGCCUGGGCUACACACGUGCUACAAUGGUCGGUACAAAGGGUUGCCAAGCCGCGAGGUGGAGCUAAUCCCAUAAAACCGAUCGUAGUCCGGAUCGCAGUCUGCAACUCGACUGCGUGAAGUCGGAAUCGCUAGUAAUCGUGAAUCAGAAUGUCACGGUGAAUACGUUCCCGGGCCUU